rnacentral:sRNA from 1 species
CUUCAGCGAGUUGAGGACAGAUGAAGUGAACGUGGGUAUCGAUGGCACCAGCAGUGAAGAUGUGACCUUCACCAGCCAAAGCCUCGGUAGAGGCACCGACCACCAUGCCUGGAGUAACGUUGUCCAUGACAUCGGGGUUACCGGCCUUACCAAUACCAACAAUCAUGGAAUCCUUGAUACCGAUAUCAGCCUUGACGAUACCAGAGUGAUCCAAGAUGACACAGUUGGUGAUGACCAAAUCGAGGCAAUCAUCAUCGGAAACAGCGGUCUUUUGGCCCAUACCUUCACGGAG